rnacentral:tRNA from 1 species
AGUAGAAUGGCUGAGGAUAGGUAAAAGAUUGUAAAUCUUUUAAGGAGUUAAAGACUCUUCUACUA